rnacentral:miRNA from 1 species
ACGGAGACUCCACCCGGCUAUGACACUGUAACAUGUCCUGGUACCAGCAGAGAUUCUGAAUCCAGACAUGUAAAGUUUCAUAGCUGGUGGUCCCCUGAUGUGUAUUCA